rnacentral:rRNA from 1 species
UACGUAGGGUGCAAGCGUUGUCCGGAAUUAUUGGGCGUAAAGAGCUCGUAGGCGGUCUGUCACGUCGGCUGUGAAAACCCGAGGCUCAACCUCGGGCCUGCAGUCGAUACGGGCAAACUAGAGUACUGCAGGGGAGACUGGAAUUCCUGGUGUAGCGGUGAAAUGCGCAGAUAUCAGGAGGAACACCGGUGGCGAAGGCGGGUCUCUGGGCCUGUCCUGACGCUCAGGCGCGAAAGCUAGGGGAGCAAACAGG